rnacentral:tRNA from 1 species
GCAUUGAUGGUUUACUGGUAGAAUUCUCACCUUCCGUGUGGGAGACCCAGGUUCGAUUCCUGGCCAAGGCA